rnacentral:rRNA from 1 species
UUGUCGGAUUCUUAGCGAGACUUUUGGCUUAAGCCAAGGAAGUUGGAGGCAAUAACAGGUCUGUGAUGCCCUUAGAUGUUCUGGGCUGCACGCGCGCUACACUGACAGAGGCAACGAGUUUCAUUCCUUGGCCGGAAGGCCUGGGUAAUCUUGUUAAACUCUGUCGUGCUGGGGAUAGAGCAUUGCAAUUAUUGCUCUUCAACGAGGAAUGCCUAGUAAGCGCGUGUCAUCAGCAUGCGUUGAUUACGUCCCUGCCCUUUGUACACACCGCCCGUCGCUACUACCGAUUGAAUGGCU